rnacentral:rRNA from 1 species
AGCUUUAAGUUUUAUUUAAAGUGAGACCUGCCCAGUGCUAAUUAGUAAACGGCCGCAGUACCUUGACUGUGCUAAGGUAGCAUAAUCAGUUGGCUUUUAAAUGGAGUCGGGAAUGAAUGGAUUAAUAGGGUUAAGCUGUCUCUACUAUAUUAAAUUGAACUUACUUAUUAGGUGAAAAUGCCUAAGUUGUAAAAGAAAAAAGACGAGAAGACCCUAGGAGUUUUAACUAGAUGCUAUUUAUUAUAGUUAAUGUUUUUGUUGGGGCGACAUUGGAACAAUUUUAAACUUCCUUUAUGUUUAUAGGCCGACUUUGUAUGUAAAUCUAAACUACCCUAGGGAUAACAGCGUAAUUCUUUUUGAGCUUGCGACCUCGACCGGGACUAGCAAUUUGGUGGGAUAGCCGCCUA